rnacentral:rRNA from 1 species
AGCGGUAGGCCCUUUCGGGGGUACACGAGCGGCGAACGGGUGAGUAACACGUGAGCAAUCUGCCCUUCACUUCGGGAUAACCACCGGAAACGGUGGCUAAUACCGGAUAUGACUGCCUUGGGCAUCCGGGGUGGUGGAAAGUUUUUUCGGUGGAGGAUGAGCUCGCGGCCUAUCAGCUUGUUGGUGGGGUGAUGGCCUACCAAGGCGACGACGGGUAGCCGGCCUGAGAGGGUGACCGGCCACACUGGGACUGAGACACGGCCCAGACUCCUACGGGAGGCAGCAGUGGGGAAUAUUGGACAAUGGGCGGAAGCCUGAUCCAGCAACGCCGCGUGAGGGAUGACGGCCUUCGGGUUGUAAACCUCUUUCAGUACCGACGAAGCGCGAGUGACGGUAGGUACAGAAGAAGCACCGGCCAACUACGUGCCAGCAGCCGCGGUAAUACGUAGGGUGCGAGCGUUGUCCGGAAUUAUUGGGCGUAAAGGGCUCGUAGGCGGUUUGUCGCGUCGGGAGUGAAAACUCAGGGCUUAACUCUGAGCCUGCUUCCGAUACGGGCAGACUAGAGGUAUGCAGGGGAGAACGGAAUUCCUGGUGUAGCGGUGAAAUGCGCAGAUAUCAGGAGGAACACCGGUGGCGAAGGCGGUUCUCUGGGCAUGACCUGACGCUGAGGAGCGAAAGUGUGGGGAGCGAACAGGAUUAGAUACCCUGGUAGUCCACACCGUAAACGUUGGGCGCUAGGUGUGGGAUCCAUUCCACGGGUUC